GCGGGGUUGCCCUAGUCUGGUAGAAGGUUAAAGCCUGCUGAAGGGGCAGACCUGUUUAGCCUAAGCCUGCUAAGCCUGUGGUCCUUUGGGCCGCGCGGGUUCAAAUCCCGCACCCCGCG
rnacentral:tRNA from 1 species